GUACUCGCUUCGGCAGCACAUAUACUAAAAUUGGAAUGAUACAAAGAUUAGCAUGGCCCCUGCACAAGGAUGACAUGCAAAUUCGUGAAGCAUUCCAGAUUUAA